UACGGGAGGCAGCAGUGGGGUAAUAUUGCACAAUGGGCGAAAGCCUGAUGCAGCUAUGCCGCGUGUAUGAAGAAGGCCUUAGGGUUGUAAAGUACUUUCAUCGGGGAGGAAAAAACAAAACUAAUAAUUUUAUUUCUUGACGUUACCCGAAAAAGAAGCACCGGCUAACUCCGUGCCAGCAGCCGCGGUAAUACGGAGGGUGCUAGCGUUAAUCAGAAUUACUGGGCGUAAAGAGCACGUAGGUGGUUUUUUUAAGUCAGAUGUGAAAUCCCUGGGCUUAACCUAGGAACUGCAUUUUGAAACUGAAAUACUAGAGUAUCGUAGAGGGAGGUAGAAUUCUAGGUGUAGCGGUGAAAUGCGUAGAUAUCUGGAGGAAUACCUGUGGCGAAAGCGGCCUCCUAAACGAAUACUGACACUGAGGGUGCGAAAAGCGUGGGGAGCAAAACAGGGAUUAGAUACC
rnacentral:rRNA from 1 species